GUAACGCGUAUGCAACCUACCUUUUACUGAGGGAUAGCCCGGGGAAACUCGGAUUAACACUUCAUGGUAUAUUGAGAGGGCAUCUUUUUGAUAUUAAAGGCUACGGUAAAAGAUGGGCAUGCGUCCGAUUAGCUAGUUGGCGGGGUAAUGGCCCACCAAGGCGAUGAUCGGUAGGGGACCUGAGAGGGUGAUCCCCCACACUGGCACUGAGAUACGGGCCAGACUCCUACGGGAGGCAGCAGUAGGGAAUAUUGGGCAAUGGGCGAGAGCCUGACCCAGCCAUGCCGCGUGCAGGAAGAAGGCCUUCUGGGUUGUAAACUGCUUUUGACAGGGAAGAAAAUGCUCUUGCGAGAGUUUCUGACGGUACCUGUAGAAUAAGCACCGGCUAACUCCGUGCCAGCAGCCGCGGUAAUACGGAGGGUGCAAGCGUUGUCCGGAUUUAUUGGGUUUAAAGGGUGCGUAGGCGGCUUAUUAAGUCAGUGGUGAAAUCCGACAGCUUAACUGUUGAAAUGCCAUUGAUACUGAUGAGCUUGAGUGCAGACGAGGUAGGCGGAAUUGAUAGUGUAGCGGUGAAAUGCAUAGAUACUAUCAGGAACACCGAUUGCGAAGGCAGCUUACUAGGUUGCAACUGACGCUGAGGCU
rnacentral:rRNA from 1 species